rnacentral:lncRNA from 10 species
CUCUGGCUUUUUAAGUUCUCAGGGUUCUUGCACUGAUUCUUUCUCAUCGUUUUGGGCUUAUCUUCCUUCAAUUUUUUAGGUUGCUGGUGUUUGGAUUUUUUUUUCUCUUAUCCUAUUUGAUAACCUUGAGUGUUUGAUUCUGGUAUAAGGUGGAUUCAGCUGACUGGCUUCAUUUCUAGAAGAUUUUAGGGAGCCAACACUCAGCUCCUAACUCCUGGACUGUGUGCUUUAAAUAUGGGAGACUUGUACUGGGCUGCAACUUUGUUCUCUGUCUCCUGGAGGUCAGGAAUCUACUGCACUGGGGAUGCUGAGGUUCUCACAGACUGCUUCUCAUCACACUCCCAUAGGUGGUGUCAGCCAAAAGGUUCUGUGAUGUGCUGCAGAGCCAGCAUCGAUAUGGGACAGUGUUAGCCA